UCCAAUGAUGAUACGCCCAAUAUUUGGAGGUGCACAUGUCUCCAGAAUCCUGUUUACAUGAUGAUUCUACCUAGAGGCGUUGUAUCCACAUGACAUUCCCUGGCGAGUCUGAGGU
rfam:Hordeum vulgare subsp. vulgare, WGS project CAJW01000000 data, contig: morex_contig_141947